AGUCAAUGACUCAGGGUAGCCACUGAACAUGACGCUCGCAGUGGGUGCCACCUGGACUCCACUCUCCUCUCUCUCUGGGAUCAUAGAGUCCAAGGUGUUCUGUGGCCUCUCGGCCAGUCCCAGCAGCUCAGCGUGCAGAAGACCGAGGAGCCAUUGGAAUUCAACACAACAUGAAAUAAUCGACAAAUUCGGGGAAUGUUAAUCUGACCAUUCCCAGUUACAAAUGAUGUUUCAUGCUACCUUCUAUUCCUGCCUUCAUAAAUCAAGGAAAAGAAAAAGAGAACAUAUAUCCCCCUACCUUUUGAUUUCCAACAGUCUACUGAGAGGCCAACAUUAUUUGCAGGGAAAGAAAAGGGGAAUGCCAUCCCCACCCUCUCGCAGCUACAUGCCAGUUCCAGAGCACCUGUUCCCCUCUACUUUGAAAAGGUCAAAUUGUUUUGCCAGUCACUCCCAAAUCAUCUACAGCCAAGGGGAGAAGUGUAUCAAGACGGAGGUGCUCAACGGUAUCAAAUACUGCCAAGAGACCAAGUAAUACAUGCACUGAAGUGUCUACUGGAUCUAGCUAUAUGAUUCCACAGCUGUUUUAUAGUAACUCAGAGUUUGAAGAGAAAUUACUCCUGCAGUACCAGUUUCCAAAAUGCUUUGUAGCAUCUUCUCAAAAAACAAAUGGGAAGAAGCCAAUCAGAAAUAAGGAAAUUUUAAUUUAGGACACUUAGGCCAUACUGAAGCAAGGUGACAAAAUGAAUAGCUACAAUGUCUCAUGAAUCUUGGGUUUCCAUUCACCCUGGUAUUCAAGAGAAAUUCUUGCAUCAUGGAAGUUGAAGUUGGAUAGGACUUUCUCAGCUGAACACUGUCAUCUGCCAGAGCUUCAGGCAAGAACCCAGAACAGAUGAAACCCCAGACAUGACAAAAUAAGCCAAGGAAUACCAGGCCAAGAUGUGAAAGGCCAGAUGAGAACAAGCAGCAUACAUGAUUCUGUUGCCAACAGAUCUCCCCUAACAGUGUCGUCCACCAAAUUUCCACAGUGAAUGUCAGGAAAAAAUGGCAAUUGAGGUGGGUGGUCAAAAGAGAAGCACAGUCUAUGAUGAAGUCACCCUAGAGAAGUCGUCUUUUUUCCUUUUUCUCCUGAGAAAUUACCAGAAGAAAUUAAAAUCUUUUUGAGUAUUG
rnacentral:lncRNA from 1 species